AAGACUAUACUCCCAGGAAUCAUUUCUAUAGUUUCUCACUAGAGAAAUUUCUAUGACUGUAUAGAGUACUGGAGGCCAUGAGGAUGAGGCAUAGCAUUCUCUCCCUGAGUGUGAAGCUGGCUCUUGGUAUUGCUUUGCUGUAACAGCCACUGGCCAUUGAUGAACAUUCUUGCCCUAUUUCAGGGGAGCUGGAGGGAGAAGACACAGUCUGAGUGGCA
ensembl:snoRNA